rnacentral:rRNA from 1 species
CGAUGAUCCCCAGCUUGCUUGGGGGAUUAGUGGCGAACGGGUGGGACACGUGAGUAACCUGCCCUUAACUCUGGGAUAAGCCUGGGAAACUGGGUCUAAUACCGGAUAUGACUCCUCAUCGCAUGGUGGGGGGUGGAAAGCUUUUGUGGUUUUGGAUGGACUCGCGGCCUAUCAGCUUGUUGGUGAGGUAAUGGCUCACCAAGGCGACGACGGGUAGCCGGCCUGAGAGGGUGACCGGCCACACUGGGACUGAGACACGGCCCAGACUCCUACGGGAGGCAGCAGUGGGGAAUAUUGCACAAUGGGCGCAAGCCUGAUGCAGCGACGCCGCGUGAGGGAUGACGGCCUUCGGGUUGUAAACCUCUUUCAGUAGGGAAGAAGCGAAAGUGACGGUACCUGCAGAAGAAGCGCCGGCUAACUACGUGCCAGCAGCCGCGGUAAUACGUAGGGCGCAAGCGUUAUCCGGAAUUAUUGGGCGUAAAGAGCUCGUAGGCGGUUUGUCGCGUCUGCCGUGAAAGUCCGGGGCUCAACUCCGGAUCUGCGGUGGGGUACGGGCAGACUAGAGUGAUGUAGGGGGAGACUGGAAUUUCCUGGUGUAGCGGUGAAAUGCGCAGAUAUCAGGAGGAACACCGAUGGCGAAAGGCAGGUCUCUGGGCAUUAACUGACGCUGAAGAACGAAAGCAUGGGGAGCGAAACAGGAAUUAAAUACCCUGGUUAGUUCCAUGGCGUAAACGGUUGGGCAACUAGUGGUGGGGGGAACAUUUCACGGUUUUUCCGCGGCCGGUAGC